rnacentral:rRNA from 1 species
GACGAACGCUGGCGGCGUGCUUUAGGCAUGCAAGUCGAACGCGAAAGCCCCUUCGGGGGUGAGUAGAGUGGCGAACGGGUGAGUAACACGUGGGUAACCUGCCCCUCGCAGGGGGAUAACCGGGGGAAACCCCGGCUAAUACCCCGUACGCUUGCUGGGGCGCAUGCUCCGGCAAGGAAAGGUAGCUUCGGCCAUCCGGCGAGGGAGGGGCCCGCGGCCCAUUAGCUAGUUGGUGGGGUAACGGCCCACCAAGGCGACGAUGGGUAGCUGGCCUGAGAGGGUGGUCAGCCACACUGGGACUGAGACACGGCCCAGACUCCUACGGGAGGCAGCAGCCAGGAAUCUUGCGCAAUGGGCGAAAGCCUGACGCAGCAACGCCGCGUGGGCGAUGAAGGCCUUCGGGUCGUAAAGCCCUGUUGUCGGGGACGAAGGGCGAAGGGUUAAUAGCCCCUAGCCUGACGGUACCCGACGAGGAAGCCCCGGCUAACUACGU